rnacentral:rRNA from 1 species
UACAGAGGUGGCAAGCGUUGUUCGGAAUUACUGGGCGUAAAGGGCGCGUAGGCGGCCUCGCAAGUCCCGUGUGAAAUCCCUCGGCUCAACUGAGGAAUGGCACGGGAAACUGCGGGGCUUGAGUUCGGGAGAGGGAAGCGGAAUUCCGGGUGUAGCGGUGAAAUGCGUAGAUAUCGUAAGGAAGACCAGUGGCGAAGGCGGGUCUCUGGACAGUUCCUGACGCUGAGGCACGAAGGCCAGGGGAGCAAACGGG